rnacentral:rRNA from 1 species
UACGGAAGGCAGCAGUGGGGAAUAUUGCACAAUGGGCGCAAGCCUGAUGCAGCCAUGCCGCGUGUAUGAAGAAGGCCUUCGGGUUGUAAAGUACUUUCAGCGGGGAGGAAGGCGGUGGAGUUAAUAGCUUCACCGAUUGACGUUACCCGCAGAAGAAGCACCGGCUAACUCCGUGCCAGCAGCCGCGGUAAUACGGAGGGUGCAAGCGUUAAUCGGAAUUACUGGGCGUAAAGCGCACGCAGGCGGUCUGUCAAGUCGGAUGUGAAAUCCCCGGGCUUAACCUGGGAACUGCAUUCGAAACUGGCAGGCUAGAGUCUGUAGAGGGGGUAGAAUUCCAGGUGUAGCGGUGAAAUGCGUAGAGAUCUGGAGGAAUACCGGUGGCGAAGGCGGGCCCCUGGACAAAGACUGACGCUCAGGUGCGAAAGCGUGGGGAGCGAAACAGGAUUAGGAUACC